AAAAAUUUACAACUACAUUGAGGUUCUUCAAGCCAUGCAUUUUACUUAUCUUUUACACUCAUUUACAUACCUAAUAUAUCUGGGUUUCCCUCUUUCGAGCUUCGUGCAAGUUGUUUCUCAUCAACAACAGCUGAAAUAAUGAGAUCAAUCUGAUAACUCGAAGAACUAAAACCAGCAUGAGCAUUUGCAUGCUCUUCUCCCAUAUCGAAAACCCUUUCCGAAUCAUUCUCCAGCAGAUUCAUUCCCUGAUGCAUUUGAUAAUCAGUGUUUCUUGCGUCCAUCUUGUUGUUAUUUUGAUGAGUAGAAGCAGAAGCUGGGGCUGCAACCUCCUCGUUGCUUAGCUGUGAAGCAACGAACUUAUCGAGAACUCUCCAAUCGGUAUUCACUUGGUCAUCUUGAUCGUAAUAAACAGAUCUAAAACUUUGACUCCCUUGUUGAAAUUGUUCCUGGUGAGUGAGAGUUGAUGAUUGCUGCAACUUACCAAUAUUUCUUGUGUUAUUACCGUUGUUGCUUGAUCCAUAAGGUAGAGAGUUGCAGUUACUGUUAGGGGUUUCAAGCUGGGGAAUCUGGUGGAAAAUAGAUUCAUGAAGAUGAUGAUUUUGUUGUUGAUGUUGUACCAUGUGAUUGUAAUGUAGCUCCAACUCUUUCUUGCAUUGCAAGUUAGGAUUGUUGUUGUGUGUACAAGCUGAAGACGCAUUGAGGCCAUAGGGAAAUGGCUGCUGGUGAUGAUGAUGAUUGUGAAGAGUCCGACUUGGGGGGUUGGAAUGGAGCUCGGAGGCCAUGAAAGAGAGAUGGUCGUCGUACCAAUUAGAAGGCGAAGAUUCAUAAUCUUCCAUUCUCCUCAUUGUUGCCGCCAAUCUCUUUUUGAAGACCCUACACACCACCCAUCCUUCUUCCUGCACAUAAAUAUCACAUGUACAUCACCUCAAAUAGUGAUUAGAUAUUCAGGAAAGUGAACGGUGACAUGUUAAUUGGCAUGUUAACUGUAGUGGACAAUGAAAUUUGAAUUUGGAUAUGAUGACAAAUUUAGUGAACUUUUAAUAUGUAAGUUAUGUUUAUGAUUGUAAA